rnacentral:rRNA from 1 species
UACGUAGGGGGCGAGCGUUGUCCGGAUUUAUUGGGCGUAAAGAGCUCGUAGGCGGUUUGGUAAGUCGGGUGUGAAAUCUCCACGCUCAACGUGGAGGGGCCACUCGAUACUGCCAUGACUCGAGUCCGGUAGAGGAGUGUGGAAUUCCCGGUGUAGCGGUGAAAUGCGCAGAUAUCAGGAGGAACACCCGUAGCGAAGGCGGCACUCUGGGCCGGAACUGACGCUGAGGAGCGAAAGCGUGGGGAGCGAACAGG